GACGAACGCUGGCGGCGCGCUUAACACAUGCAAGUCGAGCGAGAACCGAGGCUUCGGCCUCGGGGACCGCGGCGAACGGGUGAGUAACACGUGGACAACCUGCCCUCGGCACCGGGAUAGCCCGGGGAAACCCGGAUUAAUACCGGAUGGACCUUCCGGCUCUCGAGCUGGUCGGAAAAGGUAGCUUCGGCCUCCGGCCGAGGAGGGGUCCGCGGCGGAUUAGCUUGUGGGUGGGGUAACGGCCCACCAAGGCUUCGAUCCGUAGCUGGUCUGAGAGGACGAUCAGCCACACUGGGACUGAGACACGGCCCAGACUCCGACGGGAGGCAGCAGUGGGGAAUCUUGCGCAAUGGGCGAAAGCCUGACGCAGCGACGCCGCGUGAGGGAAGAAGGCCUUCGGGUUGUAAACCUCUUUCAGCAGGGACGAAGCUACUCGGGUGAACAGCCCAGAGGUUGACGGUACCUGUAGAAGAAGCCCCGGCUAACUACGUGCCAGCAGCCGCGGUAAUAC
rnacentral:rRNA from 1 species